CAGAAAGAAUGCAGAGAGGAUAGAAGGCAAGGCAUCCAGGGCCUAUUUCUGGAGGUGCCCUGGCUCUGAUGGCCUCUCCUUAAGAGGAAGCAGCCACCACAAGGAAAAUGAAGGAGCCAAGGAGGAUCCGCUCUACUUUCGUUCUUCCUGCUGAGAACCACAGACUGGGAGCCCACUUGGCCCCAUGAGGCAGCACAAUGCAGGGGAGAUGAACUUGAGUCACCGUGACAACUGUCCCUGAGUUGGGAAAUAUCAGCUGUAUACUCAUGAUGUCCUGAAUCAGAGGCGUGGAUACCUUACAGCCUGGACACACCUGCACCUAUGUGUUCAGAAGCUUGAAAGCUUCCUGCAUUGAUGAAGUUUGGAUGGACUGCUCAGACGCACUGACCCAGGAAGGAGAGGAGCUGGCUGUGGCAGGCGCUGGAGGCCAGAACUGGAGCGUGAAAACCAUGCUCACGGUAUCAACUGCUUACACCUCUUUCCUUGUUUCAUUUCUUCAGUCUCCACUGUGACAUCAAGGGAGGACUGAGGAAGCAGGGACAAGUGGCCCUCAUUGAGUCCCCUCCCUGGUUUAGGCAGGCUCUCCACUAAUAUGCCCGUUGGUCUUUCUCCUCGCCUCUUGCAUAUACAGUCAGCCAGACCCCACCCAAAUCUACUAAAAAUCCCCCACCUCACUUUGGGAGGGGGGUCUCCUCCCAGCCAGUCUUUCCUGGCCACUUUCU
rnacentral:lncRNA from 1 species